GAGAGAGAGAGAGAGAGAGAGAGAGAGAGGUUGAUGGAUAUAUAACAAGUCUUUUUUUGUUUUUUGAAUAAAAAUAUACAUAACAUAAUUAUCUGAACUAUGAAUCAUCUUGAAUCGGCUAUUUAAUCUUUUAAAAUUUUAAAUUAUGAUUUAACUUUGAAUUUUGUAUAUGCCGUUCAUAUACUUUUAUAGACUUAAUUUGUAUACUUUAUACGAUGCUUAUGAUUAUAAAUUCAUUGAAGUAAACAAUUGGUUAAAUUUUAACGUUAAAGUGUCGCCAACUGACUCAAAUCAAACAAAUUGAGUAGUUGGGUGAUAAAAUCAAAUUUUUGAAGAGUUGAGUAGACGAUUCAAAACGAUCCAUAAUUCAGGUAUAUAUGUUAUGUACAUUUUAUCCUUUUUAUUUUUAUUUUUUUGU
rnacentral:lncRNA from 1 species